rnacentral:lncRNA from 1 species
GGAUGUUCUAUGUACAUAUGUAAUGUAUGUAGGUGAGUAGGUGCCAGAGUUUGAUGUAUAUCUCAUGACUUCUACAGGCAGCUUUACAAGUCAGUAUGUUCAUUUUUCAUAAAUGUACAAAAAAAUGUAUAUGGAGUCUGCCACCGUGUGGGAUAUACGAUAUAACCAUCAAUCAAUGGCGGGCGCCAACUCCAUCUCAGCACAAAUUAGCGUUGUCCUAUUUCUUUCUAUGACUCCCCCUCUUAUAUUUACACGAGACUCUUGCUCCUGCUUCAUCCCCGUCCAUCUCCUAUUCAGUUACUCAUCCACAUCUCUUUGAAAGAAGAGCGUGUAGAAAGAAGCUAAAAUAGAUAUCAUUUUCCAACCAAUUUCUUAAGCCUUGACAGUAAGGUCUACACCAUGGCAUACGUCCUUGAUUUCUUACACUGGCCGUCCUUGGGAAUGUGUGGCAUCAGGAAGAGGUACCUGGAGCACGCCCUU